rnacentral:rRNA from 1 species
AAUGAACGCUGGCGGCAGGCCUAAUACAUGCAAGUCGAACGAGUGGCGGACGGGUGAGUAACGUCUGGGAAACUGCCAGAGGGAGGGGGAAACUUACUGGAACCGGUAGCUAAAACCGCAUACCAUCGGAUGUGCGCAGGUGGGAUUAGACAGUAGGUGGGGUAACGGCUCACCUAGGCGAGGAUCCCUAGCUGGUCGGAGAGGAUGACCAGCCACACUGGAACUGAGACACGGUCCAGACUCCUACGGGAGGCAGCAGUGGGGAAGAUUGCACAAUGGGCGCAAGCCUGAUGCAGCCAUGCCGCGUGUGUGAAGAAGGCCUUCGGGUUGUAAAGUACUUUCAGCGAGGAGGCGUUACUCGCAGAAGAAGCACCGGCUAACUCCGUGCCAGCAGCCGCGGUAAUAC